CAUACAUUUAACACAUGCACGCGUGAGCAUGAGUGCACGCACGCACGCACGCACGCACGCACACAUCUACACACAAAUAUCCACAUAAAAAUACACAAAAACACACUCACAUUCAAGAUUGCCAACAUUCCAGGAGACAAGGUGCUCACUGGGCCAGCUUGGGGCAGCGGAAUUCCCAUUACCAAGACUAGCCCACUGAGUGUAAGAAGCAACUCUAGAUCCAGGCCUUGGUUCCUUAACUAUCUCUCAGCAGAAGCCUGGGUCAGGGAGAAGGAUCCAUUGGACUCAGAUCUUGGGAGAAGAUGUGACUAGGUGCAAUGCCACUUAGGCUGACUCAUUUCCUAGCUUUAAUCUUCAGUAUCUACUCAGCUAGCUGCAUGGCUGCCGCUCUCCAUGAGCGUUUGCAGCCACCGCUGAAAACCAGGCAACUGAAAACAAAAACCAACAAUUGAGCUGUUUCCCAGGAGAACCUUCUGAAAUCAAGUGCUUCCUUCAACCGUAACGACCAUUUUUAAUGGGUGAAAGCACAUCACAGGUCCCCUUCAGCAGUUUUCCAGAUUUGUUUAAAGCUCACUUCCUACCACCCACACAGUCUUCUUGUUUUAUCUGCUUCCUCCACAUCGGCAUGCAGGGACGUUCAGACUCAUCUCACUGGUGGCCUCCGUGGUGACUGCUUUGCAGACUCAUCACUUUGGACUUCCAAUUUGGCUUCCGCUUCAGCGUUUGUCCAUGACCCUGAGGGAAGUUAAUUUCCUCUUUCUGGACCUUGGUGGACAUAGUAAUAAAAUGAAAUAAUUAUCCUGUCUUCAGAAAAUGACAGUUUCUGAAUACUUCUUAAAUCUGAUCCUGGAAUUGCACACACACACACACACACACACACACACACACACACACACACACACACACACACCAUCCAUUGUGGUCUGCUUGUAAGAAGGUCACCUUCAAACACAGGUCAGGGGUUGGGAGUCCUGAAACAAAUGAAAACACAGGACCUGUUGUUCAUGGGUUUUUAAGAAUUGGAGCUAGUGAGAUGGCACAUAGAGUGGGGAUGGGGUAAGGGCUCUUGCUGCUGAGCCCAAGGACCUGUGUUCAAUCUCCCUGAGCCCACAUGGUGGAAUAAAAGAGCCAACUGCCUCAGGUUGUGCCCUGUGAUCUCCAUGCACGGGCAGGGGAUUGUGCAGGGCUCCCCCUACAUACCCACACAUACAUUUUAAAGAACCAGAUAGAUGAAUGUAAGAAAGAAUAAAAAUUUCCAAGAAAUUGAAGAUGGGUGAAUGUAAUCAAAAUACUUUGUAUGAAUAUAUGACAUUUUCAAAGAUUAAUAAAAAUGCUUGUUUAAAAAAACUGAAUAUGAUGACAAUAGAGUAUAA
rnacentral:lncRNA from 1 species